GAUGAACGCUGGCGGCGUGCUUAACACAUGCAAGUCGAACGAAGCACUUGAAACAGAUUCUUCGGAUGAAGUUUCCUGUGACUGAGUGGCGGACGGGUGAGUAACGCGUGGGUAACCUGCCUCAUACAGGGGGAUAACAGUUAGAAAUGGCUGCUAAUACCGCAUAAGCGCACGGCAUCGCAUGAUGCAGUGUGAAAAACUCCGGUGGUAUGAGAUGGACCCGCGUUGGAUUAGCUAGUUGGCAGGGUAACGGCCUACCAAGGCGACGAUCCAUAGCCGGCCUGAGAGGGUGGACGGCCACAUUGGGACUGAGACACGGCCCAGACUCCUACGGGAGGCAGCAGUGGGGAAUAUUGCACAAUGGGGGAAACCCUGAUGCAGCGACGCCGCGUGAGCGAAGAAGUAUUUCGGUAUGUAAAGCUCUAUCAGCAGGGAAGAAAAUGACAGUACCUGACUAAGAAGCCCCGGCUAACUACGUGCCAGCCGCCGCAGUAACAC
rnacentral:rRNA from 1 species